AACGAACGCUGGCGGCAGGCCUAACACAUGCAAGUCGAACGCUGUAGCAAUACAGAGUGGCAGACGGGUGAGUAACGCGUGGGAACAUGCCCUUCGGUUCGGAAUAACUCAGGGAAACUUGAGCUAAUACCGGAUACGCCCUUAGGGGGAAAGAUUUAUUGCCGAAGGAUUGGCCCGCGUCCGAUUAGCUAGUUGGUGAGGUAAUGGCUCACCAAGGCGACGAUCGGUAGCUGGUCUGAGAGGAUGAUCAGCCACACUGGGACUGAGACACGGCCCAGACUCCUACGGGAGGCAGCAGUGGGGAAUAUUGGACAAUGGGCGCAAGCCUGAUCCAGCCAUGCCGCGUGAGUGAUGAAGGCCCUAGGGUUGUAAAGCUCUUUCGCCAGGGACGAUAAUGACGGUACCUGGAUAAGAAGCCCCGGCUAACUUCGUGCCAGCAGCCGCCGCGGUAA
rnacentral:rRNA from 1 species